rnacentral:rRNA from 1 species
UGAGGAAUAUUGGUCAAUGGGCGAGAGCCUGAACCAGCCAAGUCGCGUGAAGGAAGAAGGAUCUAUGGUUUGUAAACUUCUUUUACAGGGGGGUAAAGAGAGUGACGCGUCACUUAUUGCAAGUACCCUGUGAAUAAGCAUCGGCUAACUCCGUGCCAGCAGCCGCGGUAAUACGGAGGAUGCGAGCGUUAUCCGGAUUUAUUGGGUUUAAAGGGUGCGUAGGUGGACUGUUUAGUCAGUGGUGAAAUGCUGAUGCUCAACCGUAGGAUUGCCGUUGAUACUGGGGGCCUUGGAUUCGGUCGAGGCGGGCGGAAUGCGUGGUGUAGCGGUGAAAUGCUUAGAUAUCACGCAGAACGCCGAUUGCGAAGGCAGCUCGCCGGGCCGAUAUCGACGCUGAGGCACGAAAGCGUGGGGAUCGAACA